GUAGUACUGCCGCCGGCCAGGAGGAGGCGCCGUUGUCAAGGGAGCAGUGGAUGACGAGCCGUGGCGGCGGAGAGGAGCAGAGGAAGAGUGCUGAAACUGGACGCUGGAGCGGGAGUUAAUCCUAGGCGAGAAAGGUAGUCUGACAGAGGUGCUUUUGGGCAAAACCUUUUGGAGGCGGCGUGGAAUCCUGGAAUGCAGAGUGUGGAGAAGACAGCGAAUUCCGGCAGAAGGGUGGCUUUGAAGCGGCAGGAGCGGAGGAGGAAUCCAGACAGCUCGUCCUCGUCGCGGCUCGUCUUGAUCGGCUCCUCGUCACUGUAGAGCCCGGCCGAGUCGACGGCGGCGCCGCCGAGGAAGGCGUGGCUCCCGGAUCCCAGCAGGUCGCUGGCGGCAGAUUCCAUCUCAUCCACGGUCAUGUGGCACGCGUCGGCGAUUUCCCGCUUGGCGAACGCCACGAACUUUGGAUCCCGAGCGUAAAGGCCGAGUCCUUCUGAGAUCAGAACCUGGGAAGGACCAGAGACGCUUGAGCUCUGAUGCUUGUCUGCUGAUGAGAGGAGCAUAAAGGAGUCGACCGCGGCGAGGACAGGGGUUGGCCCACGAGGUGGAGGAGGUCGCCGUGGAGUGUCCGGAGGAGCGCCGGGAAUCGUAGCUGUUAAAAACCUGCUGGGGGGGGGGGGCAGAAGCUCAGGGGGGUAAGAAGCGGCUCUGACAAGUGUAUGGUGCGUUCAAGAGCUCUAGAGCGGAGUCGCUUCUGGUUUAUAUGGUUUAGAACGGCAAAGAUAAAAUAAACUAGAAAAACUGCAUUACCUGCGAUAAUGCUUGUGUGAAUGCAAUUUGCGGAAUGUGUUUGCUGAAGAUGCUAAAGAUUUUUGUUUAAGAUUAGCCAAAAAAAAACCUAAUAAGGUGCCAAAUUAGCCAUAAAAGCUUAAACACUGCUAAUCCAUUAUCUUAACUCCUAAUUAGCCCAAAAAAACCUCAAAAGUUGCCAAAUUAGCCAAAAAUGCUAACAAGUUGCUAAUAUGUUAGUUUAACUUCAAAUUAGCACAAAAAAACCUCACAAGUUGCCAAAUUAGCCAUAAAAGCUAACACGUUACUAAAAUGCAUCGUUUUUAAAGGAUUUGAAAAAUUCCCAUUCCUUUUCAAUAAGGCUAGUAAUUAGCAUAAUUUGCGUAAAAACCGUAAAUUUUGUGAAAACCAAAAAUACUAGCCAUAAUGUCCUCCACGAGCUGAACGUUUUGAUACCAAUAUUGCACAAGUGUAAAAAGUGCACAUAGUUUUUAUAACGAUUUUAAAAAUGUCCAUUAAUUGUCAAUGAGGCUAGUAAACUAGCAUAGAUUGCAUUAAAAUCAUUAAGUGUACGAAUUUCAAAAGUACAACAAGCUGAACGUUUUGAUACCACUGUUGCAUAAGUUGUAAAAGUGCAUAAAGUUUCUAAGGAUUGAAAAAUUCCCAUUCAUUUCCAAUGAGGC
rnacentral:lncRNA from 1 species